GAACGCACCCGCCUUAACUCGGUAUGGCGGUACGGCGGUUAGGUGGUUAGGCGGCUCGCUUGCAGGGGAGCUCUGGCGUGAAGCAGGCUGAGUCGCUGACUUUGUUUAUGCGCCGAUUGUGCUGGGGGGAAAGACACAGGACCCCGAGAACGCCAGAAAUGACUGGCUACCCUGGCUGCCCAGAGCUUACUGAGAUUCACCAGCCUCUGCUACUCAAGUGCUGGGAUUAAAGUCAUGGCACCAAAUCCGUUUUUUAUGUUCCAGCCACGUCAACCCCAGACCCACAAAACCAACUGGAUGGAAAGAGAUUCCUCUCCCUUUAUGCCCCUUCAGCAGAAGAGGAACAACAACUGAAGGGGUUAAACUCUCAUUUGUUCAACUGAAUUUAAGUUUCAGUUCUCUGAGGGGCGGACAGCUGUCUCUCCCAACAAAAGGCCAUUUAUCAACAAAUUACAUUCAGGGCCAAGGGAGAGAAGAGAACACGAACAAAGCCUGAAGUCAGGCCCACAGUGUCUCAAGGACAAGUCCUACAGCCCCCCUUCUGAAUCACAUUGGGACUUGCCCAAGCUUGUACUUGCCCAAAAAUAAAACCCUCAGCCAAUUAAAAGUAUAUUAAUAACCAAUGCUUGCUUAACCGAUUAUGUUUGAGAUGACCUCACUGUCCCUAAAAUUCCCUUUAGCUAUGUUUAAAAAGAGCCUACAAGCUCCUCUCGGGCUCACCACCAUCUUGUACAGGUGAAUGACCCCACAUGCAUGCUGGAAUAAUAAAUGCUCUUUGCUCUUA